UGGUUUUUACUGCAGUAGUAGUAAAAUUUCUGAAAAAUCAUUGGUCUAUAGAAUCCAACAAGCUAAAUUGGAUUAUCUCCAUUAAACGUUCCAGGCACGAAAAACACCGAUUUCUAAAAUAAUCAAACUGAGCUAGUAGAUGUGAGAUUUUUUUUCUUUUUUAUAUUUUUUCAGAUUAAUAUUCACUAUAAAAAUUAUAGAAAAAAAAAAGACAAUUUCUCGAUCAUUUCCUUGCGGGUAACUUUUCCAACAGCCCAUGAACGCAUCAGGGCUGCUCCGCUUGCAGCUUGGAGCGGACCGCGCCACACAUGAGUCAGGGAGCGACCUCUGAAGGAGCCAGAGCAGCAGUGGGGAAGCAUCCAGGUUGAAUCAUCAACAGAAGAGAGGGGAUCAGGAUGACCACAGCAUCAUUAAGGGUCAAAUGUCCACAGCUUCUGUGAUGUUUUCUGGUGAACCUCUCCUCCUGGUUAUCUCCGGCUCUCGUUCCCUGCCCUGAUGCUCCCUCCAGUUCUGCUCCUUGGGACCGGCAAGCACAAAAAGGAACUAUCAGGAAACAUUAUGACUGAGAAGAAGCAUGUGGUUGAGGUUGGGUCCCUCUGCAGACUGAGAGUCAUAUUUUUAAUGAGGCAAAGUUGAUGGACAGGAAGCUCUUCCCUGAUUUUGGAUUUGACAUUCAUGCACCAUAACUGGGAAGUAGUUUGGAAGGGAACUGAAAUACUCUGAGCAGGUAUUUCCCUUCGUUCCCGGAAAGGUUGGAUAUUUAGUGACCGGAGAAAGAUGGAAACAGGAGCCGAGGUGAGUCCACAUCAGCACCAGAGGAGGAAACCUGUGUUGCAUGGAUUGGAGGACCAGAAAAGGGUGAGUUGAGGACAAAUCGUUUUCUUCUCUUCAGUAUUCCUGCUCCUGGUUGAUGUUCAGGUGGAGCAUCGAUGAGCAGAAACAAGCAACUCUAUUCUGAUCAUUUUAAAAGUGUUUAAGCUUUCUUCAUUUCAUCUUAAUUUCUGCCAACAUGGAAGGAUGCAUGAUUGAUUCCGAGCAGUAGACUGACUCAAUAAAGUAUUAUUUAAUGGUUUUCUGUUUGUAUGGAGAAAUGUAUUAGUGGUCUGCAGGAGGAGUAAUAAAAUAUCUAAUAUUAUAACUCA